UUUUAAUCCAUAUCCACCUUGUGUGCAAUGUCAGUCGAUCUUCUUCAUGGAGAUCGACCAAACAUCAACCUUUAUUUUUUAACUCUUUGUCUGAAAAAUAUUAUGAAUAAACAAUUCAAAAUACAACUUUCAACAACGGAUCUCUUGGCUCUCGCAUCGAUGAAGAACGCAGCGAAAUGCGAUACGUAAUGUGAAUUGCAGAAUUCAGUGAAUCAUCGAAUCUUUGAACGCAUAUUGCGCUCUUUGGUAUUCCGAAGAGCAUGCUUGUUUGAGUAUCAGUAAACACCUCAAAGCUUUUGGAUUUUUUAAUCGAAAAGCUUUGGACUUGAGCAAUCCCAACACCAAUCUUUUUGAGAUCGGUGGCGGGUUGCUUGAAAUGCAGGUGCAGCUGGACAUUCUCCUGAGCUAAAAGCAUAUUCAUUUAGUCCCGUCAAACGGAUUAUUACUUUUGCUGCAGCUAACAUAAAGGGAGUUUGACCGUAUUGGCUGACUGAUGCAGGAUUUCACAAGGGUCGGCAACGAUUCUUGUUAAACUCGAUCUCAAAUCAAGUAAGACUACCCGCUGAACUUAAGCAUAUCAA
rnacentral:rRNA from 1 species